UUUUGUGCCGCGGGGCUUCAAGGAGCCCGGGAGCAGAACCUGAAAGCGCAAAGUUCCUCCGGUUGGAGCUGGGGUGUUCCAAUGCUCCGAGCAGCGGUCUGUGAGAGCCACUUCGCCGCUCACAGAAGAGCGAAGGAAAGUGGGAGAGGGGAGAAGGAAAGUUCACCUCCCGAGCCGUGCCCACCCGUGUUCAAAACCCGCCCCGACGGCUGCUGCUGAGGGGAGAGGCCGGGGCCGCGGCCGCCAUUCCGGGGCCGCUCGCACCUGAGGAGCGAGGUGGCCUGCAUUGUGUGUUAUUGCAAUGAAAAAUUCAAGAUGCCAUUGUACAAGAGAAAUAUCACUUAAGCAGCUGAUGUCAGAUGUUAGAGACAUAGCAGUUGAGACUGGACAGAAAUAGUUCCUAAAGAACACCAUUGCAUCAAACAAUCUAUAAAUUAUAAGCGCCGCCUGACAUCUGGUGGCUGUGGCAGCCACAGCGGCAUUCCUGGGAACCGGCGCCCGGCGGGGGCACCUCGGGCCGUGACCCGCAGCGGAGCUUGCGCUUUAAAAGAGGAGAAAGCAGAGAGAAAGUAGAAGUAAGGCAGAAGUUAUUUUACUGUGCAAGUUAAAUAAGUCUUUGAGG